GAUGAACGCUAGCGGCAGGCCUAACACAUGCAAGUCGAGGGAGAAGCCCUUCGGGGCAGAAACCGGCGCACGGGUGCGUAACGCGUAUGCAACCUACCUUUCACAGGGGGAUAGCCCGAAGAAAUUUGGAUUAAUACCCCAUAAUAUUAUUGGAUGGCAUCAUUUGAUAAUUAAAACUGAGGUGGUGAAAGAUGGGCAUGCGUCCUAUUAGCUAGUUGGAGUGGUAACGGCACCCCAAGGCUACGAUAGGUAGGGGUCCUGAGAGGGAGAUCCCCCACACUGGUACUGAGACAGGGACCAGACCCCUACGGGAGGCAGCAGUGAGGAAUAUUGGUCAAUGGUCGGAAGACUGAACCAGCCAUGCCGCGUGCAGGAAGAAUGCCUUAUGGGUUGUAAACUGCUUUUAUAUGGGAAGAAUAAGGAGUACGUGUACUUUGANGACGGUNCCA
rnacentral:rRNA from 1 species